rnacentral:misc_RNA from 1 species
AGACUUGCUUACCGCUAGCCCAUGGUACAGUUCCAGAAUUUCCACCAUGUUUUAUUCUUUAGUGUCUCUGCAUAUCUCUGUUAUUGUUGGUGGCGUAAUCUUUCUGAUUAGACUCGAGCAUUCUCUGGCGAGGAUUGUGUCCGUCCACACUUUAUCACAUGUUUCUCCCUGGAAUUCUCUUCCAUAAUGCGUUCAUUGCAUACCAGAAAACAUUGGUCCCCCUUCUAGCAAUGGUCUAUGUAUCAACCAUUUCCACAAAAUUGCCAUGCCAAGCAGGAACACAAUGGUCCUUCGCUGGGGAAUCUGUGGAGCAGGGUUCAUUUGUAGUGAUUUUGUGUCAGCAUUGUUAGCUCCUCCCAAUAAUGUUCAUGAGGUAGUUUGUGUUGGAGCAAGAUCAUUAGCUAGAGCCCAGGAAUUUGCUGACAGGUUUGGUAUCAAGAAAGCCUAUGGCUCGUAUGAAGAGGUUGCCAGUGAUCCAAAUGUUGAUGUUGUGUACAUUGGGGUGAUACACAUUCACCAUGUGAAGCUGUCCAAACAGAUCCUAAAAGCAGGGAAAAAUGUUCUGUGUGAGAAACCAGUAGCAUCUUGUCUGUCACAGUUUCUGGAGGUCCAGCAAGUGGCCAAAGACUGCAAACGCUUCUUCAUGGAGCAAUUUGGAGCAGGUGCAAUCCAAUUUAUCGUAAAAUCAAGGAGGAGAUUCGUUCUGGAAACCUUGGGGAAAUCCUGCAUGUACAAUGCCAGUUUUUAGUUCCUAUUUGUAAUGUGGAUCGCAUUAAUAAGCCCGAGUUAGGGGGAGGAGGUUUGCAUGACAUAGCAAUUUACACAAUCCAGCUAGCUACAAUGGUAUUUAACAAUGAAAAACCUGUGAAAAUCACAGCUGAUGCUUCAUUGUCUGAUCAAGGAGUUGAUCUAAAUGGCUGUAUCACCUUAACCUACAAGAAUGGCGGUAAAGCAGUGCUCGUCUACAGUACACUGUUUCAAGGAAAGAAUUCAGCAAUAAUAUAUGGUUCAAAUGGAAAAAUAGAGAUUGGUGAACCUUUCUGGGCCCCAGACUCAGCAAAUCUGCCGUCAGGUAAAAUAACCAAUGAAAUACCCUGUGGUCCAGUGCCAUACAACUUUACCAACAGUGGGGGUCUGCGAUAUGAGGCAGACUGUGUCAAGAAGUGUCUUGAAGCAGGAAAUUUGGAGUGCAGUGAAGUGACCUUCGCUGACAGUCAGGCUGUUUACCACAUCAUUGAUGAAGUGGUGAGACAAACAGGAAUUAAUGUUCAGUGGUGAAUAGAAGCUUCUUGAUUGGGAAUGAUUUCUCCAUCUGUCUUUGUGGAGUUUUCCCAAUGAAGAGUGCAUCAGUAUGAACUGUAUGGCUGUAGUGCUAGAUAUAUAAACACCUGCAAAUGACACACACAUGUAAUUUAUUGAUUAUUGAUUAUUAUUGAUGAAUAUUUGUGCUUGUAUAGUAUGUGUAUUAUUUGUGGCUCUAAACAAUUUGGUUUAUGAUUAAGGUGCUAAUAUUUUUCAGUAUUACAAACAUGUAUUUUCGUGUGAUUUGUUAAUUGCUUGAUAGCCACUUUAAACUGUGUGUUUUUUAAAAAAUAUUUAAUCUAGAUGUACAUGAUAAACUUUUUUAUGAUCUUUUUGCAUAUAUAUUAUAUAUAUUCAUGUUAUGAUAUGGCAAUCAAUAAAAUUAUUUUAUUAAUAUGUUG